CACUUGGUUUAUAUCGUUUUCGGAAUUGCAGUCAGUGAAGAUAAACAUAACGAGGAUGUGUAAUAUUAUACUAUGCCUAUGGUACAUGUUUUGGAUGUUUUUAUUUAAAUAUCUAUACAAAAACGAAAAAUAGGAACAAGGUCAACAGGAAAGCAAUGCUACCGGGGUCAUUGACGGCAAUGCAACGUUUUCCUUUGAUGUAGUGUCAUAUCCUGUUCCAAACAAAGAGGGAUAUGUAUGGCACAAAUGGAAUUGGACAACGUAUUCUCAAGUUCACAAUAGUGACAAAUACACCAUCAACAAUGCCGGUGUUUCUACAAUAUUCACUAUGAAUGAUAUUGAAGAGGACGAUUUUUCAGCCUACUACUAACAGUGUCCAACAGAAUAACACCAGACUUCAACAAAAUAUUCAACUUAAGACCUCAAGAUGUCACUCAGUGUCCAACCGAUGUAACAAUUAAUGCAACGACCUCGUCUUCAGCUAUUGUGGAGUGGAUCAGUCAAUUUAAUGGUGGACUUCAGCAAACAUUUGUUAUUUUGUAAAAAGCAAAUGAAUGUUCAGAUUACUUGGUUUUUACGGAAGAUGAGCUCGACCAGAAGAUACAAUACGAAACCAUAAUAACGGGAUUAAAAGACGGAUCGACUUAUGAUGUCAUUAUAUUCUCAAGAAACGAAUUAGGAUUGUAAACAAUUGUAAACAAAAUAAUUCACUCCAAUUCGACACAGAACUUCUUGUCGAUGACCCGCCGCCUUCAAAUGCAGCGUUGAUCGGAGGUUUGGCUGGUGGUAUAUCUGCAGUUUGCGUUGCAUUCGUCGUAAUUGUUGUUGUUCUUUUCUUACGGAAAAGAAUGUCUUGUACGUACAUAUAUGUAUUAAAAUUAUAUUUAUAUUAUUUGAAGUCACAAAUCGCAGAAAAAAAUGUUAAUCUCAACCUUUUCAACCAUUUCACCGGCUACUUCGGACAGUCUACCAAACGUUAAUAUUGCAAUAAAAUAGAAAGAAACAAGCAAAACAGUCAAAAACUAGCGAUUACCUGACACUGAUAACAAAAACCACCACACAACACACAACAAAUAUCUAUAUCAAAUAUAUGCUUGUCCUCGAUACCGGAGGGACUUAAUAAGAAAUUAAACUGUUAAAUAUCCCUUCUUGUGUCUAAAAAAAUAAAGCAACUACAAAAUCAAGAAUCACAAACAAUGCAGCGUUACCACAAUAAACACAAAUGUAGUAAUUAUCAUUUUAAUACGCUUUUUAUUACAUAAAUACUUUUAGUUCUUGUUUUGUACCAUUAUUCUCUGCUUUAUUUUCUGAUUUACGACUUAACCUCAUAUGUCAGUUUGACGUACAUAUAUAUUGACGAACUUCAUAAGGAUACGUCUUAAGUUGCCAAUUAUUGCAAAAAUAUGAAACGAGUUUAGGAAAAGUAUUUUAGCGAGGCUUUGGCGAACUUCAUCAAUCUUUCGUAACAAGUUUGAAAACAUUUUCUUAUUUAAUGGCAAACAAUCGAAGAUUAUUGUUUCCACGCGACACUUCGUCCCCAAAAAUGAUGUUUUGUUUUCUUGGUAAGGAGUCUGAUUUAAAUUGAUAGGACACAAUGACGUUAAGGCUCAACAGUUUUAAACCUUUUAUUUUAUAAGGCAUACUGUGUGUGAUGUGUUUGGUUUCUAACGAUGACUGCAUCAUAUCUUUGAAAAGUAUUUGCAUUAGGUGCUCUGAAUUGUUUCCCUCCGUCUGCAGAUAGAGUUGGGAUCUCUAAUCAUUGAAGUAUUUGGGGUUUCCCUUUUCGUUUUAUUAUUAUUAUUUGUUUUAUUGAUAAGUUUCCUCAAGUUAAUGCAUACUUUGAUAAGAUUUAUUUUUGCGUUUUAUCUUUAUUAAGAAUUGUUGGGAUAAGAGUGAGGUUUGUGCACAUAAACUGGUUUAAUUUUUAAUAUCAAUUCUUGUUAAACAUACCAAUUAUAUAUAUAUAUAUAUGUUGUUGUUCAAUAUAAUAUAUAUGCACUGUGCUAUUUGUAGAGUUUUGUGCUGUUCUAUGUUUCUUGUUUGUGAUUUUGAGUUCUAUGUCUUUGGCGUUUGCCCAUUGCCACUAAACCGGGUUUAUGUUUAAACUUUUUGCUACUGAGCAUGUUUCUGUAGCUUUGUGCAUAUAUAUUUAGUUAAAUUGCACUAGUGGUAUAUACUAUAAAAUGUUAUAGUUGUAUCACACUCGAAAUAAGCAACGUCAUGUGAUAAAUUAAUGUACAAAUAAGCUUAUCAUUUUAUCAAGCCGUUCGUGAUUUUUAAAUUUUGAUAACCAAUUUAAAUUUUAAAUUCGACAAUUAUAAUUGAUUAUUUUUAUAUUUCUUUUCUAAUUAAAUGAUCGUAUUUGUUCUAGUUCACUUUCGCAAGAAUCAUCUGAUCUUUAUCUAGAUUUUAUGUAUAUAAGUUUAUAUUUAUAUACCAGUCCCGAUAAACACUGGAGUUUUUACACUUUUACUAUUGUGAUGAGAAUUAUACUUGCCCAUCAAUAAUAAUCAAUAUGUUAACCGAUGUCCCCGUAAAUCUUGGCAACAUCUACUCAAGUCCUUUUCAAGCAACUAAAAGGCAUGGUGUCGAUUGCCAGUCGUAAUAAAACAACGAAAGAACAGCAAAUCACAAAUGACUUCACCUUGAAAUGCGCAUGCCAAAGCUGAGUGAAUACAAUUCAUGAGAAAGAUCUUAUUACAGCAGAAUAAAUACACAUUCAAAAUAAAAAGAAAUUAGAGAUGUGUUAGAAAAUUUAAAAAAAUGAAAUCAAUGGACUGCCGCUUUGAAGAAAAAAUAUAGUUGAACUUUACCUCUUGCUUCAAAAGUAUUAUUCAAGAAAGAAACAGAAAAGAAAAUAUAGUCAGGCAGUUCUUUAAAUCUGUUUCAAUAUCAGUCUUUAAGCGAAAAUCACGUUUCAAAUGCCUCUUGAAAAAAAAAUUGGGUUGGGUCAUUUUCAGUUAAUAAUAAAAAUUGUGCUUAUAAACACAUGAAUGUUUAUGAAUGCCAGCUCACAUUUCCAUUGUUUAUUUUUUGCAUUGCCUUUUAUGUUUUGUAUCCAUUGCCAUACGCUACGAAUUGCUUUAAAAUUAUUGAUUGCCUCAUUAGAGCAGAAUUGAUGACACAAGAGCAAUACUAAUCAUACUUUUUCGUUGAAAACCAUUUAUGGCUUCAAACAAAUAAAACAGAAAAAAAACGUAUAAGUGCACAUAGAUAUGCUGAACCUUGGAUUUUGUCAACAUCCUUUAUCAUGCGUACCUAAAUACUGAUUUAUUGCGGCUAUUCCUUAAUAGAGUACAUAUUAUUUUCAGAUAAAAAAGGUGAAUCUUGUCAGGCACUUUCCAAGGGCCAGUAAGUCUAUUAGUUUUGGUAAAAACAAGGAAGCCUAUAAGUAGAUAAAUUAUCUGUUUAGAGACAAAGCGGUGAAUCUAGUAGCUAAUAAACGAUCAAUAUACAAUUUACAAUGCAUCAUUGACAGCACUUGCAUCAAACUAUCUUUAUUGAUACAUAAUAGGAUUACAUCAGCGAAACAGGAGCUCCUUUCGGGUCCCAAACACCAAAUAAUCUUAGUCAUGAUUAAAAUGAGUUUUAAUUUCCUAAGCCUCAAAGAAAAGACACACUUGUAGUUUCAAUCAGUUAUUGUUUUACUUGACAAACUAUUUUUUGCAUUAAUUGAUUAAACAUUCACGUACUCAUAACAAUGCAAUGUCUGAUAUGUUUGUUUAAAAAAAACGUUUUUUUAAAAAAAAAACACAUCUGAGACAAGCGAAGGCUACUUGUGGAUGAUUUAAUGGAACACAAAAGCUAAGUACUUUCUUCUACUUACACACCACUUCAAAGGAAUAGAAGCCAUGAACCACCACAGUAAGAAAAGCAAAGGCCACUAAUGCAUUGGUGUACGUAGAGAAGGGGCCACUAACAGGAAACGGAGACUACAAACGCACAACCGAAAGGAAGCAAAGGCGAGAGUGUGGUAUUGUGUUGUGCGGAAAAUCAGAGAACCCGGAGAAAACCCCGCUUUGUGAAAACCAACUAAACUCGCAUUUGCCCAGGCCUGGAAUCGAGCCCGUGCCGUGUUUUUUAGAAGCGAAUGAGCUAAGGCUAAAACUAAUGAUUUGGUUACUGGUACAUCCAUUUCAAUAACAUGUUGGGUGAUUCUAAAAAAUGUUUCUUCAAUUCGGCGAAAAAAAGGACAAACAUACUCUUAUUUGGACAUGGCUUUCAUAUGUUUUGUUUCGAACGCUGUAAAAAUGGCGACUAAGUUUGUUUAUGUUGUUGAGAUUUGGGGUAUGACUAUUUGUUAUAGUUUAUACGAUUUCAAAUAUAAUAACUAAAGUAUCAACAUUUCACUUAGUACUUUAACCAUUGCAGAAGAGGUUCGUGUUUAAUUAACUGUUUUCCCUCUAAAGGACGUGUAAUUAUCAUAAUUUGUUCAUACCAUUUUCUCGGUAAGUGACAAUGUCGUAUUAUCGGGUAGUUCCAUAUCGACAUUCAUGGGGUGGUUGACAUUGAGAAUAGGCCAGUAAUUUUCCGACUUGCAUGCGCAUGAUCAGAUCUGGUUCCGACAAACUGAACAAAAUGUGUUGAUGUCUGUCAUUUCGGAAUUUGAAAGUAGUAGUCCCCAUUUAUACUUUUCACAUGUUAACCGUAGGACUUUUUAAAGUUUAAACCAAUAUAAAGUUUGUGAAAACACAAACAAAUUUUACAAAUAUUUACGUUUAUACUCAUAGGAAUUCAUUCUUCAGAAAACUGCGGACACUAAAUGCUGUCGAAGAAGAUGCAGAUGAUCUUCCUGAUUAGGUUGAAAAUCCAAUGUAUGAAACCUCACAACCUGCAGCAGUGAGACAGGAAUCUCCUGAUGUCCUUUACGCGUUACCCAAGAAGAAGGGUGGCGAUAUAUACGCUGUAGUAGACAAACCAAACAAACGACCAAGUUGAUGGUGCUGCUUAAGCCUUACUCUAACUUGCAGAAUUUGGGUACGAUACACCCCAUUUUAGAAAAACGUUUCUGAAACGUAGUCAAAUGUCGGGACCUACAUGGUGGACUUCUACACGAAUCAGGAAGCAUUUUGAAUUCUCCAGUCAAGUAUUUCUUAUCCAACCUUCAUUACCGUAUUAAAUUAUGUGGUACUGUUCUGAUCUAAAGUAUAUAGUGACUGAUUUCUGUCAUCUCGUUCUAGCGUGUUGGCGUUCUGAGGCCAUGUAAAUAAAUUGUUUACACAUACAAUGCCAGUGUAUACGCAUUAAUCGUGAUACACAAACACAAAAGGAGGCUAGUCUAUCGUUUGAUAUCAAUACAUUCAAAUAAAAGGAGAAACUAUAAUAUGUCAUACUCAACCAAAGUAUGCGCAUUAAAGGUUACUAAAUAGUUGUGAAAUAUGUUGCAGAAUGAAGAUCUCAAUAUACGGACUACGCAGAAUAGACUUAAGAAUUGAAUUGAUUUUUAUCACUUUCGGUUGCGUGCAAACUCAACUUUGUAAAUUCUGUAAAUAUGUUUGAUCGGAAUAUGAAUUGAAUUUAUUAAAAUUAUGUUAUGAACAUAUACUUUUUAGUAUUCUUGUUAUAACCAAUUGAAACUUAUUUCAGUUCGAAAUCGUUUCAAUGCAGAAUGACAGGAACAUUUUAAAUGAAUUCAACAGAUAAUAGUCCUUAUCAAUGAAAAUAAACCAAUUGAAAAUAGAUAUGUCAUUUUACCAGAACCAGUAAAAGCGUGAUGAUACACAUAAAACUGCUUUUCUUCCUACAGGGAACACAUUCAUGAACAUGAAAAUGAAAUAGAUAUUAAAACAUUAAAAUUAUCAAUAUAUAACGCUACGUUUAUAUGUUUUAAUUUGCUUUCUGUUGAUUGAUCAGAGAAAUAAAAGUUCACUGUUUUUAAAGUUAAGCCCGUUCUCGCUUUGAAAUCAAACUUCAAGGCGCACACGGCUGGGACAUAAUUUCAACGACUUCAAUUCCGAGAUGACUUCUCAGUUCUCAUACAAUUUGACACGCUAUUCUAAUUAACUAUAACAAGCUGACAUAUUAUAUCCUUUUAAGUCAUAUAAGAAAGAGAUUAUGGUUUAUUCCAGUGUUAGUUCGCAAUUAUGUUUACCUUCUGGUCAUAAAAAGUAAAUAGUUGUUCGUGCUUACUACAUGAAUUGUAUUGCAAUCGUACACUGAAAUAAAAAAAAACUAUUCUCUACUUAUCAUAUGCUUUCCGCCUGUUUAUAUGUAUUUAUUAGUGAAUAAAAUGAUAUUUUACUGUUUAGAUAGUCUGCUCGCAAGUCCAUAUCAAAUCGGCAGUGCACAGAGAGCUCGGACACAAUAUUGACGGCGUCAUUUCCAAUAUGAAGAAACGAUCAAAUACAAUUUGGCUCGCUUUUCUGAUCAAGUACAAUAAACAGUCAUUUUAAACCCCCUUUACUUAUGUCAUAAAAAAGUAUUAAAAAAAUGGUAACCUGGCCGUGUUAAUCCAGCGGGUUGACUAGUGUCAGAAUGGUUUGAAAGUUUGACAUGUAAUGGAGAUUGUUUUUGUGUAAUUCCUGAGACAAAGCAGCUUUUUGAAAGGUAUACCAUAACUAUUCUUAGUAUUACAGAGUAUUGCGAUGAUUGAAAAACACGUAUUAUGUUUCAGAACAAAUAUGUUUUCAUCCCAAAAAGUAAAACGAACCGAUCUGUACUGUAUUUUUUAUAUUUAUGGUAGGGCGUCAACAUAUACAGGGACUGAGUUCUUGAGAUUAAAAAUGUUCGAACUUUAAGGUAGUAAGCCAGUUUGUUUGCUUAAGCACGACCCGAAAUGACGUCCUUGUUAAGUAGGUCUCAACGCAAGGAAGGAAAUCAGAGCAGAACCGUAUUUCACAAAAAAAUCGCAUUUAAGUCCCAAAACAAUGGGUAUCCUAAUGUAAGCGAUUCACUCGUUGUGUUUAUCCUAAUAAGAUGACCUGUCUUUCUUUUCUGAAAAUACUGUUAGCGGGGAAGUAAAAUUUAUUAUUUAGAUUAUCAGAGGUCGAAAGAGCUCGUUUCCGAUACUCCUUCAUUCUAUUUGACUUACUUUACAAUGACCAUAUGAAUGGUGUUUCUAGUUUAAGUUUAUAAUGACCAAAAAAUCCUAAUUUUAAUAAUUGACAUCAGGGUGAUUUCAGACGGCUUUACGACGGAAAAAAAAACUAAAUGUGUUUACAUUGCACACAUCUGUAUAAUUGAGUCCUUAAACGACAAAAUACACAUUGUUUGUUUCAAAAUGUCUUCUGAAAAUAUGGCCAAAUUUUAGCGAAUACAACAAAUUUGUUUUCCCUCGUAACCAUCGAAGAGGAUGUCGAAACGCGUUAGUGUUUACCUUAGAAAGCCAAUAGGCUAUCGCAUGGUCACUUACAAUCAAUAAGAUGUCCAUUGGCAUUUUAGGUGUGGAGCAGUAAAUAGGUGUAGUCGUCUAGGAAUUAUAGUGCAUUCUUCUCAUCAGAUGUUCCGAUGAUCGACUCUGGUCCCCUGGUCGCUCUUCUGGUAUUCGGCUUUUAUUGAUCCAAUUACAGAAAGCUUAAUUUCUUCCACAAUAGAAUGUUAUUUCGAAAGAAGAAAAGAACACUGCCUUGAAUUUGUGUAGUGAAUGUAAUUCGCUCAGGCAUAGUUCGAGAUAUUCAAAAACAAGUUGAGAUAUCGAAGGCUUCUUUGAGCAAGCACUUUUACCUUGGCCAUAACACUGAACAAUUGAUCGAGUUGGUCAUAGCCAUUAAUUAUGAUAAUAAUCAUUCAUAAAUCUAUCCCAUUUAUACUUGUUAUGCAUCUGUAUGAAGUUUGAUAUAGGCAUUGUUUAAAUUUUAAGACCAUUGGUAAAUUUAAAAUGAUUACCCCAACAACCGAAAGUCACAUAUAGUUUGAUACAAUUUGAAUAAAACAAUUGCAAUAAAACACUCCUUUUGCAAAUAAAACAAUUGAAAGUACGGUGCGGAUGUAAGAUGAACAUCUGGUCAAAUACAUGACAAAUGUUUGAAAUUGUUUUAAUUGAUGGUUAAUUUUCUAGCAUAUUGAAAUAUCUAAAUUGAACAUGCAUUUCAAUAAGUACAAUACCAUAGGGAAUGCAUGCAGCGGAGGGGUAUGUAAGUUUAAUUAACACUCAAUAACAAUAUUAGUCUGAAGAUUAUGUAUGAAAAGUUUGAUUGAGCUUAUAUUGACUAAUAGUAUCAUGGAAUUGUUUUUUCUUAUUUAUUUUUUUUAAAUUAAACAUCAUGUAAUUUAACAAUACAAACACCAUUUUGGGUAAAAUUUCUUGGUUUGUUUCAGCAAAAUCAAAUCUCUUAAAUAAAGAGUAUUUAAUUGAGUCUCAUUUCAGAGCUCACAUUUCUUAUUUCCGGGGUAAUAACUCGGUAAAUAUAUAUUAUGUAAAUUAAAAGAGAUACAACAACUUCAAUUCUAUUCCCGGCCUUUGCGCAUGUGAGUUGAGGUAUAAGUAGGUUUUACUUCGGGUUUUCCGGGCUCCCUACAACAUAAGAUUGCCAUCUCUCGUAAUAUCUUGCCAUCGAGAGUGACUUAGAAUAAGUUAAUGUAAUUUUCUUCAUAGUCGUUGUAAAAAAUAAAUAGUUUAAACUAAUUUAAAUAAUACUUUCGCAUCGUUGAUAAACAUCCAAGUAGUAAAAUAUUAGUUUAACUUCUAGAUUACUAACAUAUUAUUUAUGCAUACAAUAUAUCCUUAAACAUACUAAAAGAUGAGUUUCCACAUAACCUUAAUUUCGCUCUUAAAACGGCCGACGCGGAAAAUCUUACAUCAGCAUUUCUUUUCCCGAACUAUUCAUCAGUUUUACCAUACUUUCAUUCUUGAAACAUAUAAAAGAAAUUACUGCUUAAAGGUUAUCAAGAGGUUAUAGUAUUGCCCGGAAAUAUAUAAAUAAUUACUGUUUAUGAUUUGUUUUAGAUAAUUUGGGACUUGUCGCCCUUGAUGAUGCAAAAUUCGCAUACUGAUAUAUGCUUUUCAGGCAUUAGUUAUUUAUACGUAUAUUGUAUUUUUAAACUAAUGAAUUGCAUUUUAAGAGUAAUGUUAUCAUCGUUAAUAUUUGUUUAAAGAUGUUUCAGAAUACGUUAUGAAAAAAUGACAUUGUUGUUCUAAAUAUCAUCGUGAAACCUGCUUAUUUGGCGUAUAUUGUUAUGUUAUGUUAAAUAAAUAAUAGAAGAUAGU